rnacentral:lncRNA from 1 species
AAUUAAUUAAAAGAAAUGAUUGGGGAAACUCCAGCCAAGGGUACACAUCAGAAAUGGUUCAUGCACUGAUCAUUGAUGCAGAAAUAAUUCCAACAUUUAGCAAUAGAUUAGUUAUAGUUGUCAUGCACACGAUAAACAACCAACCCUUCCUUAAUUUCUCGAUAGCUAAGGUACGACCGUUAGCUAUUUCUCUAACCCAAAAAUAACCCUAGGUACGACCGUAGGAUUUAAUUUCUAGAUUGCAUUAAUAAUUAGAAAGGCCCAAUCCUAACCAACAAACACGCUACGAGGGUUUGUUUAACCUAGAUCAUAUGUUCCCCAGACAUAAAUCCAAUUACGCCAGUUGCUACUGAGAUAAAGAUAACGAACAAUUACGGAUUCAAUUACCCCUAUUUAGCAAAAAUAGCCUAUAUGAAUAAUUAAUUAUUGCGCACUAAUCAAUCAUACACAAGGCCAUAGCAAUUAAAAUCAAGGAACAUAUAAAUACCAAUAAAUGAAGAAAACAAUUAAAACAGAUUCGAUCUCACAGUAGUUGUCGAACCAAAUCGUCAGUUGUCCCCUUGACUAGAAAAGCUUAACCACGCCUCAUGAGAAAAUCUCCCCGUUGGGGAAUAUUGUCGAAUACCUGGCGUGUGUCAGAGGCCAGUCCAAAGAAAGAAAACUAGAACUAAACUAAAAAACUAAAACUAAAGCCCUAGAUAUCUUUUUCUUCUGUACGUUGUCUCCUUUUAAAGCAACAAAAGAAAGAUGACUAAAAGCUAUCUAGGUGGUCCCCACACAUGUGGACAAAGCCUCCCAAGUACUUCUUGUUCCAAGUCUCUCUACGUUGCUUUCUUUGAAGCCCAAAUGACCAAAUGCCUUUCACUAGCUUGUGGUCCCCCACCAAUUCAAGGGCCCAAGGAUUGAAACCCUUAGAAGUCUCCAUAUUUUUCACAAAGUCCCUCCUUUUUGGUAGUUUUCUGCUUCAUUCCUGAAAUUGAUUCCAAAUACCAAAUAUGAGUAAAUAUCAGCAAUUAACACAAUAUUUGUCAGGGAUAGAAGGGAAAAUUAAUAAUAAAAAUACCAACAAUUAACACCCUAUCAAUUCCCCCCACACCUAAACCAUGCUUGUCCUCAAGCAUGAGAACAAGAAACAAACACCAAUAUUUGAUAGUGGCUAUUGCUCUAUCCAACAAAUUGCCAAGAUACCAAGAAAAAUAAUAUUCAAGCAUCAAUGGUCAAGUCCAAGAAACAUCACUCCGGUUAGCUUCUAAACCACAAACUCCUCUAAUUCCAGGUUAACUAAUCUAAGAAAAAGGAAUGACACACAACAUUUAUCAGCAAAUGGUCCAACUAUUAACCAAAAUCUCAACAUUAAAUCCAUAAUUCGGCAAGCUGACUUUUAUUACACACUAACACAACCUUCACUUUUUUCACAUUUUUUUCUACUUUUCUCUCUUUUUUUUUAUUUUCUUUUUUUUUUGAUUCUCUUUUCUUUUUUCAAUAGUAACAAAAGACUUAGUCGCUAGCCAUUAGAGCCUUUUGACGCGAACUCCAACAUUGGCCAGAUGAAGGAGCCCGGUUACUCAGCUUCUAUCGCCACGUGACCACGUACUCAUAUGAAUUACUACCUUUUGACGCGAGAAUCAACACUUUUAGGUGCAGAUCCCCGGUUACUCAGUAGUAACUAAUAGCGGAGUACAGUCAAGUUUAUUCAUAGCUAAAAAUCACAAAAACUCAAUAUAACACAAGAACCAAAAGAAAACUUGCAUCAGCUAGCCUCAUUUCCAAACAUGGAGAACUAAAGUUAAUAACCGGACCAAUUCACAUAAAAAAUGCCAACUAUCAUUCCCUAUGCCUAGAAAAGUUAACCAAAAAUUGGAAAAGUCAAGCAAUUACCGAUAUUCACCAGAGAGAUGUUCAUGAACUCAACCACAUUAAUUUAAUACCCUUUUAUUAAUAAAACUUGGCAAUAGCAUAAUUAGAGGCAACAAUCCAGCAUCAAAACUUGGUAUUCAUUUAAGGACUGACCACUAGAAAGAAAAAUAAAAUAAAAUAAAUGAAAGAUAGGCAAAAACUAACUAAAAAUAAAGGAAAAGCCCCUAGAAACUAAAAACAAAAAUACUAGCACCACAACGAUCCCCCCCCCACCUAAUUCACACAUUGCCCUCAAUGUGAUAAUGUAAAAGCAGAAGGAAGGAGAGGGGCAACGGUACUUCCCUGAAAUCAUCAAAAUAGGGACGGGGUCACAGCGGCGGUUGAGGUGGAAAUUGAGGUGCAAGACCCGUAUGGUACAUAAACACUCCAACAAUGAUGUGGGUCGAGGGGUCCUAGACAAUUCAAUAACAACUACAGCCACCAAUAAGGACAAUAAGCAAGUCAAUAUCCACCAAUGUGUCUCACUUAACAAUCCGACCAACAAUAGAAACUGGUGUCCCAGAAAAUGUAUUAAACCAGUAAAGCAGAAGUCGCACCUAAGGGUAAGGCAACAAUCAAGUGAGUAAACAAUAUUAUCCCGCAACCGGACAAUUAAAUGCAAAAUGCGUCCACCCAAGUACUCGACAAAUGUCCCCCCGGUCAAUUUCUCCCAACAAUAGCAAAUUGUUCCCAACAAGUCAAUGAAAAUCAACCAAUGGCAAUAACCAAACAAGGGACACAGGUGCCGCGAGAGUCAAUAGACAAACCCAACAGUUAUCCUACUAACGGCACAACAGAAAUUCCAAGCAAAGUAGCACUUCGUCACAGCCCAAAAUAUUCCAACAUAUCACGUCAAUGGACUCAAUACAGAAAUCAGCAAAAUAGGACUCAAGUGAUACCAAAAAUGACCCCAACAAAGCAGUGAAUUCAACCAAUUCGAGCAAGUGAAACUCAACAAAUGUCACCAAUUGGACAGUCAAUUACCCACGUCAAACGCUCAAAAGUAGCACUUGAGCCACGGAACUAGCAAUUCCAGCAGUAACCAAAUAGAAAUUGAGAAUUAAUAAUUUUAAGCAACACUGCAACCAGUACCACUGGUGCUCAGACAGGAAAGUAUUAAAUCAACGGCAGCAACUCAACCACGAGAACUUAAACUUUAAAAUAAGCAAGUAGCUUCAAAUAGCCGCAACAACGAUAGGCAAAAGAUCUCAACCAGUACCACUGGUGAGUCACAGGGAAAAAUUAGUCAAACGGCUAACAAUGCAAUAAAUAGCAGAAAAUAUCCCCAUUAAGGCAGCAAUUCAACGUAAUAGCACCCUCAGAAUGAAACCCAGAAAAAUGCCCAAAUCACCUCCUGCCUUAUCCAAACACUCAAUCACAGGGUGGACAGGAACGACUCAAUCACAAAUGCCCAGUAGUCACAACUUGCUUAAUUAGGCAAUCCAGAACACAAGAUUAUCAGAUGCUAAACAACUACCAUCACCAGUACCACUGGUGAGUGUAUAGGGAGAAAUUAAAGCCAAUAACCAACAAAGUGAACAAAAUAGAUUCGAACACCCGAGCAGCGCCAAAAAUGAGCGGAAAUUAAAGCCAGAAGCAAUUGGCAACUUACUCCCAAGGUACCCCCAAAUAUCGCAGCAGUUUAACUCAAUUCUACCCAAAAUUAACCCCAGAAAAUGUCCAAAAUCACUGCCUGCUGUUUUCCAACAAGAAGCUCAAGCAAAGGUACAAAAUUUCGCAAUUUAGGGUUCAGAAUAAGACAAAUUGAGGCAGGAAUUGCAAUACCUCCACCUGCCAAAAAUUGACAGGUGGUAACGUGCUGGGGUGGACGGCCGCGAGAGGGUUAGAGCUGGAGGUAGGCGCGAUGAGCUGGUGACGUGGCUGAGGUGCGGCGUGCAACACAGGAGAAGCUGCGGCCGAGGGCUGGUGGCGGUUGUCGUGGAGUUUGGGCAGGCGGCGGCAGCUGUGGGAGAGUGAGGGAGAAAGAGAGGGAGACUGGCGGCGAGCGGCGAUGGCAGUCCGGGAGCUGUGCGUCGCGUGGGUGGAGCUGCUGUGGUGGUGCGCGGCUGGGCAGGGGGAGCUCGAGAGGGAGGAGCGUGUGCGGUGGAGCUCGCGGACAGGCGGCUGAGCUCGUGAGCAGCGUGGCUGUCUGGCGCGGCUGUGCGCAGCGUGUGGCCGAGCUGACGGAGCGUGGGCAGGGGAGUUGAUGGGGUCGCACUGCCGCGCGAUGGGGUCGAUCUGUCGGCUGGAGUUGCGCGCGCGCGAGGUGGACAGCAGCUGCGGUGCAGAGGUUGGUGGUGGGAGAAGGCAGAACUGGUGGCGCAACGUGAAGCUUGGCCGCGAGCUGGCAGCUCGCGGGCUGCGUGGGAUGAGCUCAGUGGGGGCUGGAGCUUGGCGGCGAUGGAAGCGGGUCACCACUGGAGAAGGAGAAGGAGAUCGGCGAGGGGAGAGUGGUGGCGCGCGGCUGACGAAGUUGGAGGAGAGCUUGUGGUGGUGGCGAUGGCGUUGGUGGAGCGUGAGCUGCGGUAGCGGCGUGAAAGAAAAAGAAGGAAAAAGAGAGAAACAGGGGAGCGGCGGAGAAGAAGAAGAAGAAAGAAAGAAAGAAGAAAAAAAAGAAAGAAAGAAAAAGGAAGAAAAAAAAAUGGGAAUUUUUUUUUUUUUCAAAAACUAUCCGAACGUAGAUCUGAAAUCUGAAAUUAUUUUAUUUUUUUUUUUGAAUGUAAUAAUAAUAAUAAUAAUAACAAUAAAUUUUUUUUUUUAAUAAAAAAACAUGGUUUGGGUCGUCCAACACCGCGCGGGCACGCCAAGAUUGGUCUUCGUCCUCUGGUCUCAGAAAACACAAACACCGCGCGGGCACGCCAAGAUUUCACUUCCAAGUCACAGUAGAGGAGAUAUUAGCCUUGAUACUACCCAAUGGAGAAAUGACAAAACGAAAAAAAUAAACAACUAAAACCAAUAAAAUCAAUAUUCGGGUUGCCUCCCAAACGAGCGCCUUUCUUUAAUGUCUUUGGCUAGACAUGCUAUGCUUGUUCACGGAGGAUAAAAUCUUGUAGCUCGUUUCAAUGCUUCAUCUUCAAUGUGAUCCUGGUAACCCUCAUAGAUGGAGUAAUCUUUGAGCACACGAGCUACGAUCUUCCAUAGACUAGUUGAUGGCGCCAAAUAAUCAAGUAUUGAUCGCAAUUCUUCAUCUACUCCUCCAUCAAGAGCAUUCGACGGUUCAAGAUAUUUGACCAUAGCUACUCUUAAUUCAUUCCUGCCAUGAGACUCAAGAACUUCUGGUAUAACAAAAUCAAUCUCAUUAACAGAAAUCAUAGAGUAAGAGUUAAGAAAAUGCAGGUUAGGGAAUGGAGGUGGUGUCACCACAUUUGCUGAUUCUUCACUGGAUUCUUUCACUUGAAUGGGUUGCAGUUGGGGUUCCAUUUCUUCCUUUUCGGCUUCUUUUUCAACUGCAUCUGCACAUCUCUCUUCUUGAAAAUCUUGCAGCUCCUCAUCACUAGUCAGACAAAUUGCACUCUCAUUUUCUUCAAAAUCAACAAUGGUUUUCGAGGGCAAUUCUUCAAAUUGAGAAGCCAAUCGAUUUAUUCUGGAUGUCAAUAGACACAUUUGAUCUUCCAGAUUACUCAUUGCCUCCUUCAUCAUCUCAUUUCUCCUUUGUGUCUCCUGUUGGAAUUGAUAUGUAUUAAUAGCUAUUGAUUCAACUAUUUCUUCAAGAGACAUACCUGACAUAGAUGAUGAUUCUUGAGACUCAUACUGUUGAGAAUUCAUUGGCCCUGUUGUAUAAUCAUAACUGGAGUUAUCCCACCAUCCUUGAUCAUACCCGUUUGGAUUAGGGUUAUACCACGUUUGAGACCAGGGUGAAAAAUCUCCAUAAUUAUUGAGGGGGACACUCAGAUUAUCUUGAUAUUCGGGGCACAUACCGGUUGAAUGAUCCCUGGCAUAACAAAUUUUACAGGUUGCAGCAGCCAUUCUUUCUCUAAUAGAGUUUAGUGCCUCUGAAUAUGCAAACUUAGAAAAGAAACUAGUCUCAUCGCCUUUCCCGGAAACAAAAUCCAGACUUUCACCAAAAUAUGGAGUGUUAGAAGCCAUAAACUAUAUAAUAAUAAUAAAAAAAGAGAUAAAUAAAAUAAAUAAAUAAAUAAAUAAAAUAAAAAAUAAAAUAAAAUAAAAACAAGAUGAACUCCAAAAGAAAUAAAUUAAUCUGACACCAGUCCCCGGCAACGGCGCCAAAAAUUGACAGGUGCCGAACCUGUGCAAUAAUAAAUAGCUACUCGAGAAAAAUACAGAUUUUGUAUAUAGCGGUGAGUAGGGUCGAAUCCACAGGGACUGGGGAUAAUUCGUUUCUUCUAGAGUCCAAAGUAUGGGGGGUUUUGGAUUAAAUGCUAACUAAAUAAAUUAACUGCAGAAAAUAAUUAAUUAAAAGAAAUGAUUGGGGAAACUCCAGCCAAGGGUACACAUCAGAAAUGGUUCAUGCACUGAUCAUUGAUGCAGAAAUAAUUCCAACAUUUAGCAAUAGAUUAGUUAUAGUUGUCAUGCACACGAUAAACAACCAACCCUUCCUUAAUUUCUCGAUAGCUAAGGUACGACCGUUAGCUAUUUCUCUAACCCAAAAAUAACCCUAGGUACGACCGUAGGAUUUAAUUUCUAGAUUGCAUUAAUAAUUAGAAAGGCCCAAUCCUAACCAACAAACACGCUACGAGGGUUUGUUUAACCUAGAUCAUAUGUUCCCCAGACAUAAAUCCAAUUACGCCAGUUGCUACUGAGAUAAAGAUAACGAACAAUUACGGAUUCAAUUACCCCUAUUUAGCAAAAAUAGCCUAUAUGAAUAAUUAAUUAUUGCGCACUAAUCAAUCAUACACAAGGCCAUAGCAAUUAAAAUCAAGGAACAUAUAAAUACCAAUAAAUGAAGAAAACAAUUAAAACAGAUUCGAUCUCACAGUAGUUGUCGAACCAAAUCGUCAGUUGUCCCCUUGACUAGAAAAGCUUAACCACGCCUCAUGAGAAAAUCUCCCCGUUGGGGAAUAUUGUCGAAUACCUGGCGUGUGUCAGAGGCCAGUCCAAAGAAAGAAAAACUAGAACUCAACUAAAAAACUAAAACUAAAGCCCUUGAUAUCUUUUGCUUCUGUACGUUGUCCCCUUUUAAAGCAACAAAAGAAAGUGACUAAAAGCUAUCUAGGUGGUCCCCACACAUGUGGACAAAGCCUCCCAAGUACUUCUUGUUCCAAGUCUCUCUACGUUGCUUUCUUUGAAGCCCAAAUGACCAAAUGCCUUUCACUAGCUUGUGGUCCCCCACCAAUUCAAGGGCCCAAGGAUUGAAACCCUUAGAAGUCUCCAUAUUUUUCACAAAGUCCCUCCUUUUUGGUAGUUUUC